rnacentral:tRNA from 1 species
GGUUCUGUGGUGUAAUGGUUAGCACUUUGGAUUCUGAAUCCAAGGAUCCUAGUUCAAGUCUCGGAAGAACCU